CCUACGGGUGGCAGCAGUGAGGAAUAUUGGACAAUGGACGAGAGUCUGAACCAGCCAAGUAGCGUGAAGGAUGACUGAUCUCUGGGUUGUAAGCUUCAUUUAUAUGGGAAUAAAACAGAGUAUGCAUACACUCUUGUAUGUACUAUAUGAAUAAGGAUCGGCUAACUCCGUGCCAGCAGCCGCGGUAAUACGGAGGAUCCGAGCGUUAUCCGGAUUUAUUGGGGUUAAAGGGAGCGUAGGUGGAUUGUUAAGUCAGAUGUGAAAGUUUGCGGCUCAACCGUAAGAUUGCAGUUGAAACUGGCAGUCUAGAGUACGGUAGAGGUGGGCGGAAUUCGUGGUGUAGCGGUGAAAUGCUUAGAUAUCAGGAAGAACUCCAAUUGCGAAGGCAGCUCACUGGACUGAAACUGACACUGAUGCUCGAAAGUGUGGGUAUCAAACAGGAUUAGAUACCCCUGUAGUC
rnacentral:rRNA from 1 species